CUUUUUUAUUUUUUUGGUUAUUGAUAAUGAUUUGGGAUUGGCUUUAAAGGAGAGGUUACUCAGGUGCACCGCCGGCGGCAGUGACGGCUAGCUUUGGUAGGCCUGGAGCGAUGGGGAAAGUGGAACGAAGAGAUGCGAUGAAAGAGUCGUCGUCGUCGGAGACAAGGGCUUAUUCUUCAGCUUGGGCGCCUGACCCUGUUACGGGGUAUUACCGGCCGGAGAACUGUGGGGCUGAGAUCGAUGCGGCGGAGCUCCGGGAGAUGUUGUUGAAUCACAGGGUUAGAUCACAGUAGAAACUUGCCACCGCAUGUGAUCACCGUAGCAGAGCAGAGCCAGAAUGUUUUGCAGAUGUUUGGGUGCCUUUGUAUUUUGUUUUGGUUUUGAGUUCAAAAUCUUUUAUCUUAAUAAUCGGUAGUAUUUCUUAUAAAGAGUGUAGUGUGCUUAACUUUAAGCUAAAGCAGAAAAUUCACUAAAUUACCA
rnacentral:lncRNA from 1 species